rnacentral:misc_RNA from 1 species
GUGAAUCAUCAAAUCUUUGAACGCAAAUUGCACUCCCUGGUAUUCCGGGGAGUAUGCCUGUUUGAGGGUCGUGAGAAUAAAAAAUCGAGGCGUCGCUCUUUUUUUUAAGGGUGGUCGCGUCGGAAUUGAGCCGUCUUUCAAAUGUUAAUUCAUGUCAAAGUGGCUUGAAAGUCAUCCAUCCGGUACGAUUAAAGUGUAUUUAAAAUCAAUCUGGAUUAAGAACGCUCGAUGACUUACCAUCUCAUGUCGUACGUUUGACUUGGCGUCGUCAGGAUCAUUCGUAUACUAUACUCGAACUUUU